CCUGUCCAAAACUGCUAUUGGUCUAGUCCUGCAUCUUUUUUUACAUUUUUUCCGUUAUCAAAAAAUAUAAAAAAAGAUGCAGGACUAGACCAAUAGCAGGAUGGAUUGG